rnacentral:tRNA from 1 species
UGUAGCUUAGUGGCAAAGCGCUUGCCCAGUAUGCAUGAGGCACUGGGUUCGAUCCUCAGCA